rnacentral:misc_RNA from 1 species
CAACCCUUAAGCCUAGCUUAGUGUUGGGAGCCUACUAGCCCUCGCGGCCUGUAGCUCCUGAAAUACAACGGCGGAUCUGCGAUAUCCUCUGAGCGUAGUAAUUUUUAUCUCGCUUUUGUCAGGAUUCCCAGCAUCUAGCCGCUAAACCCCCCAAUUUUUAAU